UUUGGAUACUGAUGGGCUUGAGUGCAGGAGAGGUAAGCGGAAUUCCCGGUGUAGCGGUGAAAUGCGUAGAGAUCGGGAGGAACACCAGUGGCGAAGGCGGCUUACUGGACUGUAACUGACGCUGAGGCGCGAAAGUGUGGGGAGCAAACAGGAUUAGAUACCCUGGUAGUCCACACUGUAAACGAUGAGUGCUAGGUGUAGGGGGUAUCAACCCCUUCUGUGCCGGAGUAAACACAAUAAGCAUUCCGCCUGGGGAGUACGGCCGCAAGGUUGAAACUCAAAGGAAUUGACGGGGGCCCGCACAAGCAGCGGAGCAUGUGGUUUAAUUCGAAGCAACGCGAAGAACCUUACCAGGUCUUGACAUCCAAUAAAACUUGUAGAGAUACAUCGUGCCUUCGGGCGUAUUGAGACAGGUGGUGCAUGGUUGUCGUCAGCUCGUGUCGUGAGAUGUUGGGUUAAGUCCCGCAACGAGCGCAACCCUUGUGAUCAGUUACUAACGGGUAAAGCCGAGGACUCUGAUAAGACUGCCGGGGACAACUCGGAGGAAGGUGGGGACGACGUCAAAUCAUCAUGCCCCUUAUGACCUGGGCUACACACGUGCUACAAUGGCCGUUACAGAGAGAAGCGAUACUGAGAAGUGGAGCGGAUCUCAAAAAAGCGGUCCCAGUUCGGAUUGUGGGCUGCAACCCGCCCACAUGAAGUCGGAGUUGCUAGUAAUCGCGGAUCAGCAUGCCGCGGUGAAUACGCUCCCGGGCCUUGUACACAC
rnacentral:rRNA from 1 species